rnacentral:rRNA from 1 species
GAGUAACGCGUAGGUAACCUGCCUACUAGCGGGGGAUAACUAUUGGAAACGAUAGCUAAUACCGCAUAACAGCAUUUAACACAUGUUAGAUGCUUGAAAGGAGCAAUUGCUUCACUAGUAGAUGGACCUGCGUUGUAUUAGCUAGUUGGUGAGGUAACGGCUCACCAAGGCGACGAUACAUAGCCGACCUGAGAGGGUGAUCGGCCACACUGGGACUGAGACACGGCCCAGACUCCUACGGGAGGCAGCAGUAGGGAAUCUUCGGCAAUGGGGGCAACCCUGACCGAGCAACGCCGCGUGAGUGAAGAAGGUUUUCGGAUCGUAAAGCUCUGUUGUAAGAGAAGAACGUGUGUGAGAGUGGAAAGUUCACACAGUGACGGUAACUUACCAGAAAGGGACGGCUAACUACGUGCCAGCAGCCGCGGUAAUACGUAGGUCCCGAGCGUUGUCCGGAUUUAUUGGGCGUAAAGCGAGCGCAGGCGGUUUAAUAAGUCUGAAGUUAAAGGCAGUGGCUUAACCAUUGUUCGCUUUGGAAACUGUUAGACUUGAGUGCAGAAGGGGAGAGUGGAAUUCCAUGUGUAGCGGUGAAAUGCGUAGAUAUAUGGAGGAACACCGGUGGCGAAAGCGGCUCUCUGGUCUGUAACUGACGCUGAGGCUCG